GCUUACGGCCAUACCACCCUGAGAACGCCUUAUCUCGUCCGAUCUCGGAAGCUAAGCAGGGUCGGGCUUGGUUAGUACUUGGAUGGGAGACCGCCUGGGAAUACCAGGUGCUGUAAGCU
rnacentral:rRNA from 1 species